UGGUGGAGCGAUUUGUCUGGUUAAUUCCGAUAACGAACGAGACUCUAGCCUGCUAAAUAGGCAGUGGAUUAUUCGUCCACUGUACUUCUUAGAGGGACAAGCAGCGUCUAGCUGCACGAGAUUGAGCAAUAACA
rnacentral:rRNA from 1 species